UUUUAAGAUGCUCAAGUAGGCUCAUGGAGAGGUCUAUGUAGCAAGAAACUGAGGCCUUCUGAUAAGAGCAAUGUGAGGAGCCAUCUUGGAAGCAGAUCUGCCAGCCCCAGUCAAGCCUUCAGAGGACUGCAGCCCUGGGCAACAUCUUGACUAAAACCCAAUGAGCUACUCUAGUGAGAACCACCCAGCUAAGCCUUCCUGGAUUCCUGACUCUCAAACUGUAUUAACCAACUGUCAAGGACCUCAGCUGCCAGCAGACAGGCCUCGAUGAUGAAGAAUGUCAGACACCCACGGCAGGCACCGUGUGGACACUCCAGGCCUGACCCCUCCCCGUGGAAGGCACAGGGGCAGUGCUGGUGAACUUCUGGAUGGCCCUGGGUAGUUGAUUGCUGGCUGCCACCAUCCCCCAACAGGGCAGGAAGAAACCUGUUUUGUGCCAGAUGACAAGAACCUGGAUUCACCUGUACCAGUAUGGUGGCGUGGGGUCGCUGGAGGGAUGUUUAUUUCCACCCUUCAGGAAGCAGCUCUGCAUAAAUUGUGCCUUGAAGAAGAAGACCUCAGAUCUGAGGUUAGAAGGCCGCUGCUUGUGAUGCACUGAAGCUCAGAGGUCACCCCAUCCGACUCUCCACACCAUCCCUCAGAAAACCACCUCAAUGAUCCAAAACGGACUCAGGUGUAUGACUGAAGAGGUCCUGGACCUCCAGAGAUAAAAUUACCAGCUCCUUAGAAGCACUCCAGAGUUUAUCAAAGCCUACUUCCGCUGGGGAAAGCUCUGUGCCUCCCCUCAGCAGCCACCCAUGGUAUCUACCCAUGGCUGCUUCUCUAAGUCCCCUGCCAGCCCCACCUUCAGGAGCUGGAAUUGGGAUGGGUAAAGUUUCCACAGCUACUUUCUUAAUGUAGGAAUCACUCCGAGGCCCUGCACAACACGUACUUGACACCUUUCAUCUCAAAUACUCCCUUUGACUCUGUCUGGCUUGAUUCAGUGUCUGGUCCAUACCUUGUUGCCUAGCUCCAUUCAUUGAAGGCAUGCAUCUGAGUCACCUGCCUCCCUCAUGUCUAACACUGCCCUCCUUAUGAGCAGCUAACCCAGGACAACAGAGGGGAAGGCGAUGAUGAGAUAGACCAUUCUGUCGCACCCUCAACCCCAAGCUAUUAAGGUGAUCAAGUUAGCCUCCAG
rnacentral:lncRNA from 1 species